rnacentral:lncRNA from 10 species
UUAACUCCACAUAAAUUAAAGGCUUAAAUGUAAUCAAUGAAAUCUUAUAACAAUUAGAAGAAAAUAUCGAAAGUUAUCUUUAUAGCUCCAGGAUAAGAAAAAUGUGACAAUACAAGUCUUGGCAAAGAUGUGAAAAAGUGGGAAUGUUCACACACUCUUGAUGGAAGGAAAAUAGGUAUACCUGUUUAGAAAAAAGAACACUUAAGAACAUAUAUAUAUAUAUAGU